UAUCUAGAUCCCCAAAUCUUGGACACCUAGGCUUCCUGUGCUCUAUUCUCUUGUGAUGUCCACUGCUAGUUCUUCUGCAUCCGACCGCCAUUGCCUAACUCCAGCUUACCCACUUACCCUUGUGCUCUUCCCCAGGUGUCAUCAGUAGGUUCUGGUGCUCGUCUCAAAGAAGCAUCCUCAUGACGGUUGUGUGUUCUACAAGUGCCACAUGAACAGAACUGGUUGUAAAUUCUAGCAUUGGGGCUACAGUACGUGGAGUAUCUGAUUCAGCAUCGGUACCUUGUAGGUGAAGCUGCUGCUGAUGCACUACUGUACAUUAGAGCUAAAAGGGAAGGGUUGGAGCGAGGGAAAGUGGCAAAAGCAACCAUUGCUACAACCAGCAUCUGCAGCAAUGGCGCUGAUGAUGUCGGGCCAUUGAGGAUGACGAAUGCUUUGUUACUGAUAGCAAGAGAGAUGUUAUUCCUCAUGAAGUUAGGCCUUGCUCAGGGUUUGGUGCUCAGGGUUUGGUGCUAUGCUUUAUGAUGCUCUUUGUAAUGUUGAUGAAAUGAUAUCAUCAGUUGCAUUUGUA